UGGGGGAAUCUUCCGCAAUGGGCGAAAGCCUGACGGAGCAACGCCGCGUGAGUGAAGAAGGUUUUCGGAUCGUAAAGCUCUGUUGUCAGGGACGAGAGAGUCUGUCAGGAAAUGGGCAGGCUAGGACGGUACCUGGCGAGAAAGCCACGGCUAACUACGUGCCAGCAGCCGCGGUAAUACGUAGGUGGCGAGCGUUGUCCGGAAUUAUUGGGCGUAAAGGGAGCGCAGGUGGGAAAGUAAGUCAGUCUUAAAAGUGCGGGGCUCAACCCCGUGAGGGGAUUGAAACUGCGAUGCUAGAGUAUCGGAGAGGAAAGCGGAAUUCCUAGUGUAGCGGUGAAAUGCGUAGAUAUUAGGAGAAACACCAGUGGCGAAAGCGGCUUUCUGGACGACAACUGACGCUG
rnacentral:rRNA from 1 species